AUUGAACGCUGGCGGCAUGCUUUACACAUGCAAGUCGAACGGUAACAGGGUGCUUGCACCGCUGACGAGUGGCGAACGGGUGAGUAAUGCGUCGGAACGUGCCGAGUAGUGGGGGAUAACGCAGCGAAAGUUGUGCUAAUACCGCAUACGUACUGAGGUAGAAAGUGGGGGACCUUCGGGCCUCACGCUAUUCGAGCGGCCGACGUCUGAUUAGCUAGUAGGUGAGGUAAAGGCUCACCUAGGCGACGAUCAGUAGCGGGUCUGAGAGGAUGAACCGCCACACUGGGACUGAGACACGGCCCAGACUCCCACGGGAGGCAGCAGUGGGGAAUUUUGGACAAUGGGCGAAAGCCUGAUCCAGCCAUGCCGCGUGUCUGAAGAAGGCCUUCGGGUUGUAAAGGACUUUUGUCAGGGAGGAAAUCCCUAGUGCUAAUAACACUGGGGGAUGACAGUACCUGAAGAAUAAGCACCCGCUAACUACGUGCCAGCCGCCGCGGUAA
rnacentral:rRNA from 1 species